UACGUAGGGUGCGAGCGUUAAUCGGAAUUACUGGGCGUAAAGCGUGCGCAGGCGGUUUUGUAAGCCAGAUGGUGAAAUCCCCCGGGCUUAACCUGGGAAUGGCAUUUGGGACUGCAAGGCUUGAGUGCGGCAGAGGAGACUGGAAUUCCUGGUGUAGCAGUGAAAUGCGUAGAUAUCAGGAGGAACACCGAUGGCGAAGGCAGGUCUCUGGGCUGACACUGACGCUCAUGCACGAAAGCGUGG
rnacentral:rRNA from 1 species